GCAAACUUGGUCAUUUAGAGGAAGUAAAAGUCGUAACAAGGUUUCCGUAGGUGAACCUGCGGAAGGAUCAUUAUCGAUUCAUAGGAACGUAGGGGAUGUCGCUGACCCCCAAGGGGGCCGUUGCACUCCUUUGCUUCCUAAACCCCCUUGCAUUUGACCCUGUGCACCUAUUGUAGACAAGGAAGAAUGAAUUUUCUUCUCUUCGUCUAUGCUUUUUUUCCUUACACCCCAUCUAUUUAUAUUGAUUACUUUUUGAUAUUAACCUAUACAACUUUCAACAAUGGAUCUCUUGGCUCUCGCAUCGAUGAAGAACGCAGC
rnacentral:misc_RNA from 1 species